rnacentral:sRNA from 1 species
AGUAUUCCCUCGGCCAGCAGAGCACUUAAUAAACAUCAGUGGAUCUGAACUUGAAUCAAAUGGCAGGUAGCAGCUUGCAGACGCCUGAAAAACCUGGGCACUGAGGUCUCGCAUGCCUGUGGUCCUGUCGCAAGAGGUGGAGUCCGUUCUUGUGGGUGCUGCUAUUCUGGGUGCCUGUGCCUCAGGGGAUUUCGCUUCUGUACAGGAAGCAAUGGCAAAAAUGAGCAAAGUUGGGAAAGUUGUGUUCCCGAGACUACAGGAUAAAAAAUACUAUGAUAAGAAAUACCAAGUAUUCCUGAAGCUGGUUGAACACCAGAAGGAGUAUUUGGCGAUCAUGAAUGAUGACUGAACAGGGCUUGCAGGUGCUGAUGCCAGAAGCUUCUGUGCCAUUGCAUUAAAGACUUCUGUCAUUUGAUCCAUGUUCAAGACCCUUGAGGUAUUGUUUCAUCAUUUCUGUAUUGUCUUUCAAUAAAGAAAACAAACAUGUGCAACCA